CCUAAAUACAUUGCAGCAUUUUAUAGACACAAUAUACAGAUAAAGUUUUAUAUAGACAUCAUACAAGAUAACACUGUAAAAACUAUAGAUAAAAGUUUAUUUAAUACUGAAGAUUCAAGCCAUAGGCAUAGCAACUGCCAAUAAGUAGAAGACUUUCCUGGAUGAUUGAAAGAGACACAUUUUUUGUCAAACAACUCCAAAACCGUUUGACAAAAAAAUAAAAAUAAAAAAGUGGGAUGGCUCCCAGAAACUAUUUGCACCAUAACCACUACAUUGAGCUAUAG